CCAGCGGGGCCCCGCGCUCUGGCCUGCCUCAUUUGUUCCACAUGACAUUUCCUCAGUGCAAGGGGCUGCUCCAGAGCUAGUCCUCUGCAGCUCACGGCUGCCUUGGAUCUGGUUUGUGCCUGCGAGGGAGAUCGUCCUGCUCCCGAGCGAAUGACACAGGGGUCUGCAAGGCCAGCUCAGAACGGAGAGAUGCUCAGCAAAGGCCUGCAGGCUUCCAUGGAGGGACUCCGAGGUCACACCUAGCCGCUGGGCUCUGCUCUCUGCAAAACCAAGCCAGGUGCUGCCAGGCCUGGGCAGGAUCAGAACCACCUUCAGCAGCUCCACAACCAGGCUCUGAGUGGGGUGUUGCCUCUGCAGCUCUGCCGUCCCUCUCUCGUGUCCCAUGGGCAGUGCAGUGACCAUCUUCUCCAUCCUUUGUGGGGCCUUUGCCAUGGCCAGCACCAUCACCUCGCUCUGCACAGACUGUUGGCAGAUUAACAGCAAAGGCUCAGUUGUUCUGAGCACCCGGUGCCGUGGCCUCUGGAGAGAAUGUGUCUGGGACAAGUUUGUGAAGAUCUGGACCUGUGAUGUUUUCAGCUCCUACCUGAAUCCACAUCCAGGUAACAAAGAGCGAGGUGCAGUGGGGAGCUGCAGUUUUCCCCUGAGGCUGAUGUAUCAGAACACAACCAAUGGUAUUUGAAAGGGAGAUCAACCCCCCUGACCAAGGACUUAGACCCCUCGCUAACUACCGGGGUAGGAUGAGCCCUUCCUGUGGGACAGAUUAUCUCACACCCACUACUGCAUGGUUCUGGCAGCUGGCACUGUCGGAACCCAGAUACUGGCCUAGAGCGGCCUUGGGGCUGACCCAGCCUGCUCUUCUUGUGUUCCUACCAAUCGCACCUACCCGCUGCGCUUUGGGGCUGACUUCCAAUCAGAUCAGAGUGCUGCAGGAGAUGAAGUUCUACAAAUAAAACUUCAUUCUAGAGUCAGGGAAACUCCCUGCGAAAUGGGGCUUUCCAGAGUCUCUUGACGUGGGGCCCUUCCCUUCAGCCAGCCCACGGUCCCACUCCUGAAAGCUCCUGGUCAUUUUCCUUUGGAGGGGCACGAUCUUCCCCGGGCCACAGGGCUCGGGAGAGAGGCGGGAGGGCGCAGCAUCCAGCUGCCUGUUCAGAGCAGGCGAAUCACCCUUUCUAGGGCUAGGUGGCACUGCGAGAUAGACGCCAAGCACUGAACGCGGAGGGGAGGGAGCAUACGCGGAGAAUGACAUGGACUUUGGACUCAGAAGGCAGGAAGCAGAAGGCCACUGAUGAGGCUGCCAGCCUAGCAGGGUCUCUUUAAUGGCUACACCUGAGCAGUUGGUGUAAACACAUGUGCAGCGGCAGCUCCCAAUGGCUCCAGCAGGAGAUGCGUAAGUGCGAAGGCAGAGCGAGGCCUUGACUACGUCUCUGUGCUCCUGGCUCACACGUACUGCGCCAAACUCCAUAUUAAAGCCUUCCAGCUGCACAACUCCUUGCUUCCUGUUUAAAUCCUUCAGCCCUCGGCCCACACACUGUCUGUCCCCAGCUCUACCGCUCAUCAGAAAAAUUCAGAAUGUUGGCAUCCUCUUCCCCCCAAAUUGAAACAAUGUCCAAAAAAUUGCCAUCAGCUUCCAUCAGAGGAUCAUGCCCAGCAGUCACCACUGAUCUGCAAUGGGGUCAAACUGGUGACCAGCAUCAUAGCCCGUUACCAGCCCCUUGCACCAUCCAUCCUCCGUGGGUACAGCCCUAAAUCCAGGACUGCACCCACUAGCCCCAUGUCUCUGGGCUCACUCUCUAGCACUCUCCUGCUCAUGGUUUGUUUGCUUCUUUUUAUAAGCUGCAAUCAUUCUCACACGGACGCUGCUGAUCACUUCCAGCAUUGCUAGUGCUGGUGCAUUUCUCUGCCUGCUGUUGGGAUUUAAAUAUUUCAGCUGCUGUCAGGAACCUCUGGCUAAACAACAGUGGCUCUGCCUGGCUGCCGGACUCUUCUUCCUCGUAGGCAUUUCAACCUCUGUUGGUGUCAUAAGAUACUGCGUGUAUGUCUACUCCCUGCACCAGUACGAGGUGUCUCUAAAAAUCCCAGGAUUCCCAAGCUUUGAAUACGGCUACUCCCUAUGGAUGGCUGUGGGGGGCAGCCUAGGGGCUAUUGCUGCAGCUGGUGUAUCCUGUUAUGAAGUCCUGUUUAAAAAAGAUCCCAGGGCAAAUGCAAAUGCAGUGAAGGAAGUAUCUGGGAGUGGGUGCACUGCUGGCAUGGACAUUGUGCGUACCUAUGUGUGAGCGAGAAGAGAUCUCCUGAGCCGGAGGACAUCAGCAGUGUCACCGAAAGUCACAGCUUGGUGACGUUUGACACAGCUCUGUGUGUGGAAAGGCUGGGAGAUCUGCUUUGUGAGCGUUUCUCAGAUACUGGUUCCUAAGGAUUAGGCUCAAGUAAGGGAUACAUUUGACAGGUUUCCCUGCUAGAUUUCUAGAAAUGUUUUUGGUAUCUACAGUUAGAUGGAACAGGCCGUGCAACUUCUCCCCAGAUCUCCUGGCCCGUGUUAUUCGCAUAUUGCUUUGGCCUGCUUUGCAUGCAGUAAAUAAGACGCCAAACUAAAGUUUGAGUCCAGGCAGGUAAAAGCGACUUGCUAAUUCGGUGCUCUGGGCUGUCAUAUGGGCCAAUAGAGACAAUGUGAUGUGAACACUUCGUCCAUAGUGCCCAAUAUGUAAUCACAUUCCCUUUGUUUUAGCCUUUGAACACCCCAUUUUCUGUACUGCUUUUGGAGGUUUUCCCCUACUUGGCAUUGGAGGCCUCAGCUGGAGGCAGUUCUGGGCAGCACACUUAAAGAAAGAUGGCGAGAGUACCCUGCAGAACCCCCAAAAACGAUGCAAAGUUUAGAAAACCUGACCCACAAGGAAAGGUUCAAAAAAUUGGGCACAGUCAAUCUUGAGAAAAGACGGGGGGCACCCAUGGGUGGCGGGUAUAAUAGGCUUUGCCUUCCCUGGCAUUGCUGUUGACCCACCGCUGGACAACUGGGCCACGAUGUCCCCGCCUCUCCUGAGACCCCCACCGCCUCCUCCACUCCAUCCCCCGCCUCUCCUGAGACCCCCACCGCCUCCUCCACUCCAUCCCCCGCCUCUCCUGAGACCCCCACCGCCUCCUCCACUCCAUCCCCCGCCUCUCCUUGAGACCCCCACCGCCUCCUCCACUCCAUCCCCCGCCUCUCCUGAGACCCCCCACCGCCUCCCCCACUCCAUCCCCCACCCCGAAGGUCCCGGCUGCUCUCCACGUCCCUCCUCCUCGGGACGGGGGAGUGUGGAGUGAUGUGGAAAGCCAGCAGCCAGCAGACUGAGGACGCUCGUCCAGACGCGCUGGGGCCGGUGGCUCGGGGCGGGGCCUUCAGGGGCGGGAGGAUCUGGUGCUCGGGGAGGAUGCUGGUGGCUCGGCUUGGCCCGGCCCGACUCUGGCGGGGGUGGGGACAUCAGGGCCGGGGGGGGGAGGAGGCC